ACUCAAAUGAAUUGACGGGGGCUCACACAAGCGGUGGAGCAUGUGGCUUAAUUCGAGGCUACGCGAAGAACCUUAUCCCGGGCUUGACAUGUGCGAAAGCGGUCGGAAGUAGCCCGCGGAAACGUGGGGCCAACGGUAUCCAGUCCGGAACCGACUACAGGUGCUGCAUGGCUGUCGUCAGCUCGUGUCGUGAGAUGUCGGGUUAAGUCCCAUAACGAGCGAAACCCCUGCCCUCAGUUGCCACUCGUGGGACUCUGGGGGGACUGCCGGUGUCAAACCGGAGGAAGGUGGGGAUGACGUCAAGUCCUCAUGGCCUUUAUGCCCGGGGCUGCACACGUGCUACAAUGGCGUGAACAAAGGGAUGCGAGCCCGCGAGGGGGAGCCAAUCCCAAAAAGCACGCCCCAGUUCGGAUCGCAGGCUGCAACCCGCCUGCGUGAAGCCGGAAUCGCUAGUAAUCGCGGGUCAGCAACACCGCGGUGAAUGUGUUCCUGAGCCUUGCACACACCGCCCGU
rnacentral:rRNA from 1 species